CCUACGGGUGGCUGCAGUGGGGAAUAUUGGACAAUGGGGGCAACCCUGAUCCAGCCAUGCCGCGUGUGUGAAGAAGGCCCUCGGGUUGUAAAGCACUUUCAGUGAGGAAGAACGCCUGGUGGUUAAUACCCAUCAGGAAAGACAUCACUCACAGAAGAAGCACCGGCUAACUCCGUGCCAGCAGCCGCGGUAAUACGGAGGGUGCGAGCGUUAAUCGGAAUUACUGGGCGUAAAGCGCGCGUAGGUGGCUUGAUAAGCCGGUUGUGAAAGCCCCGGGCUCAACCUGGGAACGGCAUCCGGAACUGUCAAGCUAGAGUGCAGGAGAGGAAGGUAGAAUUCCCGGUGUAGCGGUGAAAUGCGUAGAGAUCGGGAGGAAUACCAGUGGCGAAGGCGGCCUUCUGGACUGACACUGACACUGAGGUGCGAAAGCGUGGGUAGCAAACAGGAUUAGAUACACCUGUAGUC
rnacentral:rRNA from 1 species